GGAUGUGCCUCAGUGGUAGAGUGCUUGCCUAGCAUGUGAGAGGCCCUGAGUUCAAUCUCCAGUUAUACA
rnacentral:tRNA from 1 species